AAAAAAUCUUAAGUAACACAACACAUCUUCACACAAACACGAACACUUUCCCUCUUUGAUAAGCCCUAACACAAAAAAAUCUUCUUGUGUACAUCUCGCUACAAACGGCCAGGCUUUCCAUCGUCGUCUCUGUCUCCGGUCACCAUCGUCAUCUCUGUCUCUGGUCAACAUCGUCGUCUCUGUCUUCGGUCACCAUAGAAGGGACCCCAAGCUCUAAAUGAUAACGCACGGCUUAUAAACAAAAUCCUAAAUCCAGAGACAACAAUUCCUAUAAAGAAGCGAUCCUUUGUCUGAUCAAUUGAUUUGCUUGAGAAUUCGGCAAUUGAUGAUGUUGUUAUGUUAGCGGUUGUGCUGUAAGAGGUCAAGAACAAGAAUCUUUCGGUUUAUAACAGAGUUAGAGCCCUGUGCAGCAAUUCUACGAGGAAGUUCUUUGUUUCCUCUAACGAACAUCACAGCAAUUCGAGUGGUAACUCAGUGGUAUCAUAACCAUCUUGGUGGUGCAACAUGGGUCUUAUUAAUCACAAAUGACAGAGAAAAUAAGAGGAAAGCCACCGAAGAGGGUAUUUCUGCAGAGACAGCAUGAUUUUGGUGGGUUACUGAUGAAUGAAGUUUGUGUAGAGGGCUUACAAGUUGACAACUUUGUUUAUUGGUUGUUAAGAGUCGUGGCGGCUAUGGGCUUGCGGCUGAUAUAUGGAGCCUUGGAUGCACUGUGUUAGAGAUGUUAACCCGCCAAGUUCUUUAUUGUAUUGGCAGAGAAGGGACGGAGAAGGAAUCAUAUUUGUACGAGUAAUUGUAAAUAUCAAGUGAUAUUUGUAUGCAAGUUAAUUGGCAGAAAAGAUUGUGGCUUUCUGAUUGAUUUUGGUUGGUUCUUAAUGCUUCUAUAUGUCAUUUGGACUAUUGUGUGUGUGUGUGCGUGUUUUUUUUUUGUUUUUUUAUAAUUAUUAUUACUAAUAAUAAUAAUAAUAAUCAUAUUUGUACGAGUAAUUGUAAUCUCACUCAAAAUUUAUUUCUUUAUUGUUUUUAACAUGCACUCUUGAUUUUCA